UACGGGGGGAGCAAGCGUUGUUCGGAUUUACUGGGCGUAAAGGGCGCGUAGGCGGCGUGACAAGUCACUUGUGAAAUCUCCGGGCUUAACUCGGAACGGGCAAGUGAUACUGUCGUGCUAGAGUACAGAAGGGGCAACUGGAAUUCUCGGUGUAGCGGUGAAAUGCGUAGAUAUCGAGAGGAACACCUGCGGCGAAGGCGGGUUGCUGGGCUGAUACUGACGCUGAGGCGCGAAAGCCAGGGGAGCGAACGGG
rnacentral:rRNA from 1 species